rnacentral:rRNA from 1 species
CGGUGGAUGAUGUGGUUUAAUUCGAUGCAACGCGAAAACCUUACCACCUUUGACAUGUACGGAAGCCUUUAGAGAUAGAGGCGUGCUCGAAAGAGAGCCGUAACACAGGUGCUGCAUGGCUGUCGUCAGCUCGUGUCGUGAGAUGUUGGGUUAAGUCCCGCAACGAGCGCAACCCUUGUCAUUAGUUGCUACAUUCAGUUGGGCACUCUAAUGAGACUGCCGGUGACAAGCCGGAGGAAGGUGGGGAUGACGUCAAGUCCUCAUGGCCCUUAUAGGUGGGGCUACACACGUCAUACAAUGGCUGGUACAAAGGGUUGCCAACCCGCGAGGGGGAGCUAAUCCCAUAAAGCCAGUCGUAGUCCGGAUCGUAGUCUGCAACUCGACUACGUGAAGUCGGAAUCGCUAGUAAUCGUGGAUCAGAAUGUCACGGUGAAUACGUUCCCGGGUCUU